rnacentral:rRNA from 1 species
UACGUAGGGGGCAAGCGUUGUCCGGAAUCAUUGGGCGUAAAGAGCGUGUAGGCGGCCAGAAAAGUCCGCUGUGAAAACUCGAGGCUCAACCUCGAGACGCCGAUGGAAACCCCCUAACUAGAGUCCGGAAGAGGAGAGUGGAAUUCCUGGUGUAGCGGUGAAAUGCGCAGAUAUCAGGAAGAACACCCGUGGCUAAGGCGGCUCUCUAGUACGGUACUGACGCUGAGACGCGAAAGCGUGGGGAGCAAACAGG